CUGCACCUUCUCCCGCUUGGCGUUCCCUAACACUCAUAUAGUAUGAGGUUUUCGCCAGCGUAUACGAUCCUGUGAACGCACAGCAUCUUCCGUGCUGCGCGUCUCCUCACUCGGCAAAUAUGAGGACUCGUGGUCAAACUCUACUCUUUGUGUGGUUGUCAAAGUACGCGACCAGAUUUGAGUUUGUGAAAACUCUCCUCGGCCCCUGAACAGUGAGAAGCAGCAUGAGCAUAGAUCGCAUCGUCAGCAAAGCGCUCCAAAGAGCCUUCACUGAUCGACCUAGAAGUACUCAGAGCGGAACCACGACGAGCGUGGCGCCCUCCGAGAAAGCUCCCUAGAAAGGAGGUGAUCCAGCCGCACCUUCCGG
rnacentral:misc_RNA from 1 species